GAGGGGGUGCGAGCGUUAUUCGGAAUCAUUGGGCGUAAAGGGCGCGUAGACGGCGCGUUAAGCUUGUUGUUAAAUUCUCCGGGCUUAACCGGGGGUCAGCAGUGAGAACUGGCGUGCUUGAGGGUGGAAGAGAGAAGUGGAAUUCCCGGAGUAGCGGUAAAAUGCGUGGAUCUCGGGAGGAACACCGAUGGCGAAGGCAGCUUCUUGGUCCAUUCCUGACGUUGAGGCACGAAAGCGUGGGGAGCGAACAGGAUUAGAUACCCUGGUAGUCCACGCCGUAAACGAUGAUCACUAGACGUUAGCCUAGCUUUGCUGGGUUAGUGUCGAAGCUAACGCGUUAAGUGAUUCGCCUGGGGACUACGAUCGCAAGAUUA
rnacentral:rRNA from 1 species